GGAGUAAAGCCGGAAGCAGUGGGAACGAGGAGGGGCGGAGCUGCCACAGGCUGGGCAGGGCAGUCUCCCAGCAGAGGAUCGGGGCGUGUCCCGGUUAGAAGUCAUGCUUGGAAGGUCUGGCUACCGGGCACUGCCCUUAGGGGAUUUUGAUCGUUUCCAGCAGUCGAGCUUCGGCUUUCUGGGUUCGCAGAAGGGCUGCUUGUCCCCAGAGCCGGGCAGCGUGGGGCCGGGGGCCGACGCGCCGGAGAGCUGGCCCUCCUGUCUCUGCCAUGGCCUCGUCAGUGUCCUGGGGUUCUUGCUGCUGCUGCUCACCUUCCCCAUUUCCGGCUGGUUUGCUCUGAAGGUUUCUUUUGAUCAUGAUGUUUCUCCCAGUAACAUGAGAAACUAGGGCAGUUCCCAUCCUUCAGAUGGAUAAACUGAAGCCCAGACUGAACCAACGGCAUCUCGGGAGCCAGGAAGGAGCAGAAAUUGUUUUCUAGGUCCUGGAAUCUGGACAUAUAUAUUCCUUUGCAAAAUCAUCCUCCCUUUGGCUCAGAUCCAAUCAAAAGAAAAGCACCCAGCAUACCCAGCAAGCAUGGAAUAAUGAAACUCAGGUCUUGCUUUGCAUAACGGUUGCUUAAUAGAUUGUGCCCACCUAUGAGAGGAUGAUUGUGUUUCGACUGGGCCGGAUCCGUAACCCCCAGGGGCCUGGCAUGGUUCUUCUCCUGCCCUUUAUUGACUCCUUCCAGAGGGUAGAUUUGAGGACCCGAGCCUUCAACGUUCCUCCUUGCAAGCUGGCCUCUAAGGAUGGGGCUGUGCUGUCGGUGGGAGCUGAUGUCCAGUUCCGCAUCUGGGACCCAGUGCUAUCCGUGAUGGCUGUGAAGGACCUGAACACAGCUACUCGCAUGACAGCCCACAACGCCAUGACUAAGGCCCUGCUCAGAAGGCCACUGCAGGAGAUCCAGAUGGAGAAGCUCAAGAUCGGUGACCAGCUCCUGCUGGAGAUCAAUGACGUGACCAGAGCUUGGGGACUGGAGGUCGACCGUGUAGAGCUGGCAGUAGAGGCUGUGUUGCAGCCACCGCAAGACAGCCUGACUGUGCCCAGCCUGGACAGCACCCUCCAACAGCUGGCCCUCCACUUGCUAGGGGGAAGUAUGAACUCAGCGGUCGGACAUGUUCCAUCCCCAGGGCCAGACACCUUGGAGAUGAUAAAUGAAGUGGAACCUCCUGCCUCUCUUGCUGGGGCCGGGCCUGAGCCCAGCCCGAAGCAGCCCGUGGCUGAGGGGCUCCUCACAGCCCUGCAACCCUUCCUGUCAGAGGCACUGGUCAGCCAGGUUGGGGCCUGCUACCAGUUCAAUGUCAUCUUGCCCAGUGGCACCCAGAGUAUCUACUUCCUGGACCUUACUACAGGACAAGGCCGCGUGGGACAUGGAGAGCCUGAUGGCAUCCCUGACGUGGUGGUGGAGAUGGCUGAAGCAGACUUGCAGGCCUUGUUGAGCAAAGAACUUCGGCCCUUAGGGGCCUACAUGAGUGGGCGGCUGAAGGUGAAGGGUGACCUGGCCGUGGUCAUGAAGCUGGAGGCUGUACUCAAGGCCUUGAAGUAGCCGUGUUGGUUGUCCAUCAGACACCUAGCCCUGAACCUGGUGCCAACCCAGAGAAGCCUCUUGGAAUAGGAGGCGUUGGUUUGGGCCAUGGAAAACUGAGGCCUGAAGAUGUUUCAGUCCCAACGAGGAGCCCGGGAGGCUGGGAGACAUCUACUGCUGGUCACAGCUGAGUCGGGUGUACCACCCCUUAGCCUGUGGUAGUCCUCUGGACAGGCCUUUGCUCGUUCAAUCCCCAACAAAUGCUUAGUGCUGAGUCGGAACACAGAGUGAAGACAGAGAGCCUGGCCUGCCCUACCCAGCUGAUAACCUGACCGACCGGAGAGACGAGAAGCCCAGAAGCUUCUGAAUGGCAGCAUGUGAAGGGUCAAAGCACAUGGAUCAUGGCUCUGACAUUCAGGGAGAUCACAGGGAAGGGAAGGUGAGGAAGGGUGGCCCUCAAGAAAGGGUUACUGCAGCUGAUCCAGGCGGCCCUGCCAGAACAGGCUGGGUGGGGAGGGCAUGUGAUAGAACAAUUUGCUUUUCUUAUGGGUCUGCUCCUGAAGACACCGGGUCCUAUCCUCUGGCUCCAUCCUGCAUGUUUAAGGAGCUGGGCUCAGGGCAGCAUGUGGGAGAGCCCUGCUGUUCCGUGCUUAUAGAGGCUUGGAGCCUCCAACAAAUAAAUGUGACAUUUACGGUGUGGAAUGGA